UGGGGAAUUUUGGACAAUGGGCGCAAGCCUGAUCCAGCAAUGCCGCGUGCAGGAUGAAGGCCUUCGGGUUGUAAACUGCUUUUGUACGGAGCGAAAAGGUCUGCCCUAAUACGGUGGGCUCAUGACGGUACCGUAAGAAUAAGCACCGGCUAACUACGUGCCAGCAGCCGCGGUAAUACGUAGGGUGCGAGCGUUAAUCGGAAUUACUGGGCGUAAAGCGUGCGCAGGCGGUUAUAUAAGACAGAGGUGAAAUCCCCGGGCUCAACCUGGGAACUGCCUUUGUGACUGCAUAGCUAGAGUACGGUAGAGGGGGAUGGAAUUCCGCGUGUAGCAGCGAAAUGCGUAGAUAUGCGGAGGAACACCGAUGGCGAAGGCAAUCCCCUGGACCUGUACUGACGCUCAUGCACGAAAGCGUGGGGAGCAAACA
rnacentral:rRNA from 1 species